rnacentral:tRNA from 1 species
AUUUAUAUAAUAUAUAAAAGUAUAUUUGACUUCCAAUCAAAAAGACUAAUAAAAGUUAGUAUAAAUA